rnacentral:rRNA from 1 species
GAAGCGGCAAAAGCUCAAAUUUGAAAUCUAGCACCUUCGGUGUUCGAGUUGUAAUUUGAAGAUGGUAACCUUGGGUUUGGCUCUUGUCUAUGUUCCUUGGAACAGGACGUCAUAGAGGGUGAGAAUCCCGUCUGAUGAGAUGCCCAUUCCUAUGUAAGGUGCUAUCGAAGAGUCGAGUUGUUUGGGAAUGCAGCUCUAAGUGGGUGGUAAAUUCCAUCUAAAGCUAAAUAUUGGCGAGAGACCGAUAGCGAACAAGUACAGUGAUGGAAAGAUGAAAAGAACUUUGAAAAGAGAGUGAAAAAGUACGUGAAAUUGUUGAAAGGGAAGGGCAUUAGAUCAGACUUGGUGUUUUACGAUUAUCUUCUCUUCUUGAGUUGUGCACUCGUAUUUCACUGGGCCAGCAUCGAUUCGGAUGGUAAGAUAAUGACAGUUGAACGUGGCUCCAUUCGUGGAGUGUUAUAGCUUCUGUUGAUAUUGCCUGUCUGGAUCGAGGGCUGCGUCUUUUGACUAGGAUGCUGGCGUAAUGAUCUAAUG